rnacentral:rRNA from 1 species
CCCUUAGAUGUUCUGGGCCGCACGCGCGCUACACUGAUGCAUUCAACGAGUCUAAAACCUGCUCUGAUAGGGGUGGGUAAUCUUUUGAAUGUGCAUCGUGAUUGGGAUAGAUGAUUGAAAUUUUUCAUCUUCAACGAGGAAUGCCUAGUAGGCGCAAGUCAUCAGCUUGCGUCGAUUACGUCCCUGCCCUUUGUACACACCGCCCGUCGCUCCUACCGAUUGGGUGUGCUGGUGAAAUGUUCGGAUCGGCCGUUUGUCGCGGUUUCCGCGUCAUGUGGCUGAGAAGUUCAUUAAACCCUCCCACCUAGAGGAAGGAGAAGUCGUAACA